GCUCGCAGGUGAACCGAUGCGUAGCAAUGUUUGGGGGACAUUUCUAACAGCUGUUUUGGUUGAAUUCGGCCGCAGCUAACCUUACUUUUCGCCCAACUUCAGUAACAAAUGUUCAGCUUGUUUUAUGUGGACUUUAUUUCAACAGGAAGGAGGACGUCUUGACUUGAAGCCGUCAGGAGGAGCCUAGAACUUCAGGACUGCCCGGUUUGGGGGGUUAAGACCGACGCAGAAAAAAAAAAGUGGGAAAAAUGGAAACCUUUGAUGCCACUAGAUCCGUUUCUUCUGCCAGUCCCCAUCUCCAUCACUGCCACAUCAGCUGGUCCCAAGGUUGGGAGGUCGUCCAAACAUCUGGCCCCUCCACCAUGCUCUCUAAGGAUGGUGUUGGCUGGAAGACUCAAAGACUGAUGGACGUUUUUCUGAGCCUGCCAGGAGCAUAGAGCCGGGUUUUUUUAUUCUGCCUUGAGGCGAUAUUCACCCGACCACGUCUGGCCUUCGCUCCCAAGACUUGGCGUCACUUUCAGCUCAAGAAAUUAAAAGUUAUCGGUUUUGAUGGAGCAGAAAAUUAUUGACCAAUUGUUUCUCGGUGUAGUUGACAAGUCGUGAGAGUCGGAGAGCUGCAUCACCCCCAGAAACGGGUGGUCUAAUUUUAUAAUAAGCC